AAGAUUUUAAGUUAUCAAAACUAGUAACCUUCAAAGUUACCAAAAAAAGUCAACUCUUUUAUAUCUUA